GUCCGUGUGGCUCAGUUGGUAGAGCAUGGUGUUUGCAACGCUAGGGUUGUGGGUUCAAUUCCCACGGGGGACU
rnacentral:tRNA from 1 species